UACGUAGGUGGCAAGCGUUACUCGGAAUCACUAGGCGUAAAGCGCAGGUAGGCGGUUUGGUAAGUCUGUUGUGAAAGCUCCCGGCUUAACUGGGAGAGGUCAACGGAAACUGCCAGGCUAGAGUGUGGUAGAGGUAGCUGGAAUUCCCGGUGUAGCGGUGAAAUGCGUAGAUAUCAGGAGGAACACCGGUGGCGAAGGCGGGUCUCUGGGCAGUAACUGACGCUGAGGAGCGAAAGCGUGGGGAGCGAACAGG
rnacentral:rRNA from 1 species